GAACAUGGCAUCCCGGCGCCAGACCCACCACAAAUGAGAAGAGAGAUCCAGAGCAAGUAUUUCGGAAACUUCCAUUCUUUGGGCGGUGUGCACUGAUGCCUAUGCUCGGCCUGGUGAGCUUCCUGAUUCUCCAGCUCCCCUGGAAGAAUGCACAACUGUGAGCCUUUGGAAUGUAGGGGAAGGGAAAGAGUUGCAAUGCAACACCCUGCAAGUGUUGUUCAAGCAGGAACACUGUUAUAUCAUAUAAGAAGAAGAGGAAGCCAAGUCUUACAGGGGUGGUUCGAUUUCAAAAGGAAAUAAGACAAACACAUGAACUCGUGGACAUCUGAAUUCUGACGUUAAAAGUAUAGCAUGAUUUUCUCAACGAAGAAGUAAUUAUAGUACGGAUGCCAUAAAAUGGCUUCCCAGUUUAAUAAAUCAUUGCUAUACAAAAAAAAAAAAAAGAAUAAGGCCUGAAACCACAAUUUAAGCAGCUCUUUUCACUUUUGUCUUUCAGAUUUUUAGGACUUCAGUUUAUCACUGUUGAUUUAGUCUACAGUUCUACACUGAUGACAUGGGAAAAACAA